rnacentral:lncRNA from 1 species
UUUAUUUUUUUUCUCCUAGAAAACUCCCUCUAUGUCUCUCUUCCUUCCUUGAAAGUUCAUAUGUUUGAUCGUGCGCACCAUUCAAAGGUAACACCUAGUAUUAAAUUCCUGUGUUUGGAAUCCUAGAGAAAUUCCCGAUACGUAACAUCUCAAUUAUAUCUCUUUUGAUUUAGCGUAUUUUCAAAUUCCUGCAAUCCGAAGAAGUGUUUCGAGAGUUCCUUUACCCACACAAUUAUGUAUCUAUCAUUUAUUGUCAUAAUAUUUCAAGAAUUAAUUGAAAUAUUAUCUUCUAUUUUUCUCUUAAAAUACAAUCGGUACUAGCAAUAAAGUUUUCUACUAAAAGUUGUGUGUUUACUAUAUGAAAUUAUUUCAUUAAUCAUGUGCAUUUUUUCUUUUUAUUUUAAUUUUUGUUAUGUUUUUGCUCUGUGUACGGUAUAUUUUAUUCGUAUAUUUGUAAUUCAUAGAUUCUUGUUUUGUUUUAUGUACGAUGUACCGAGGUAAUCUAGCUGGUUGGAUCCUUAUAUAUAACGGUGAACAAAGUUAGGACAAAACCAGAACGGACCCAAGCCCUCGCUCAAAAUUAUAAAUUGUAAUACACUAUUUUGUAGUUCAGAAGAGAAAAUUUGUCUUUCUCUUUAGAUACUGCAAAUUUGAUUUUUUUACAAACAUAAACAUCGACAAUUGGCAUUGCAAUAGAUGUUCCCUUAUUAUAAGAUAUAAAUAUCCAAUCGGUUAACAUUUAGUAAUGAGGCAAAAAAAAAUUUGGAAGGGUAAACAUUUUCUUUGGAAGGGGAUGCAACUUAUUUGGUCAUGAGAACCUAUAUUUGUGCAUGGGGUACGAGAUAGGCAUACUAGCUAGAUGCACUCGAACGGAUUACCCUUCCACUUCCGUGGUUUUGCACACAACUUCUCAACAGGCUUGUUUUCUUGUAAAAUGGAUCCCUAGCGGCCAAACACUCUUAUUUUGCAUGAGCGUUUAACUCCUCAUCUUCCUCCUCCACAGCCGCUAGAAGCUUCAGCCGGUGACUUUGACUGUUCCUCGCCCUACCACACCACAUAUCUCACUGUUCCCACUAUGAUGCAUCGCAUUCUUCACCGGCUAGCUCUGCCUGACGAGUGGGUCCAUCUAUCAAAUUUGAUACAAAUUGGCAAGCGUGGU